UACGAAGGGGGCUAGCGUUGUUCGGAAUCACUGGGCGUAAAGGGCGCGUAGGCGGCCUGAUAAGUCGGGGGUGAAAGCCUGUGGCUCAACCACAGAAUUGCCUUCGAUACUGUUAGGCUUGAGACCGGAAGAGGUAAGUGGAACUGCGAGUGUAGAGGUGAAGUUCGUAGAUAUUCGCAAGAACACCAGUGGCGAAGGCGGCAUCCUGGACCGACACUGACACUGAGGAGCGAAAGCCAGGGGAGCAAACGGG
rnacentral:rRNA from 1 species